ACGCUCUGCCAGCUUCUUGUAGACUGAACUCUCUUCUCUUUAGGCUCCGAGUGGUUUUUGGGUGGGAUGGUAGAAUUUGUCUUCGCCACUAGUGGCAACGAAGUUCUUGGUCAUUUUCAAGGGGAAGGAAGGUCUCCACUCAUUUCAUUCAUUCAGUGCCUGCGGUGAGGCGCAACCCACAACAAACAAAGGGGGAAAGCUUGCUUGCUAUAGCCCUAUUUUAGUAUACUAGGCUUGGUAAGCGUAAGCUAUUUUAGUAGGCUUGAGAAGGGUAGGCUCGCAGCUUCGCCAGAAGCGACUAGUCGCCUCCUUUCCUCCGCCGAAAGAUGCUUAGCCAGAAGUGACGAAGGGGGGCUGGGGAAGGCCGACGACUAGAUGAGGGGAAGCUGCCGUAGAAGCUUUGCCCUUGCUAAAUUUCGUGCUUUACAGAGAUGUUAUGA